UACGGAGGGUGCGAGCGUUGUCCGGAAUCACUGGGCGUAAAGGGCGCGUAGGCGGGUUGGUAAGUCCGUGGUGAAAUCCCCAAGCUUAACUUGGGAACUGCCGUGGAUACUAUCAAUCUUGAAUAUCGUGGAGGUAAGCGGAAUAUGUCAUGUAGCGGUGAAAUGCUUAGAUAUGACAUAGAACACCAAUUGCGUAGGCAGCUUACUACACGAUCAUUGACGCUGAGGCACGAAAGCGUGGGGAGCAAACAGG
rnacentral:rRNA from 1 species